CCAAUAAAGAUGUUAAAAAAAUAAUAAAAAAUAAAGCACAUCGGAGAGAGACCUGCUCAGCAAUGCUGUGGGGCUGAAAGCUGGGCUGUUGUGACCAUGUACGUUGGUAAAUGAGUGGAAAAUUGGAGAGCUGGGUAUUUCAGGGCACAUCCACCGGCAGUCAGAACUGCGCUUUUGUGAAGAUGGAGAGCUGAAUUUCAGUGGUUUGUGUUGGUUACUUGUUGUUUGUGAUUUCUUUUUCAUCGUGCUGGUUACAUAUUGUUUGUGAUUUCUUUUUCAUCUUUUUUUUUUUUUGGCCUUGCCGUGCAGCGUGCGGGAUCUUAGUUCCCCGACCAGGGAUCGAACCUGUGCCUCCUGCUUUGGGAAUGUGGAGUUUUAACCACUGGACCACCAGGGAAGUCCUUUCUUUUCAUCUUCGGGUCUUUCCCUCUUUCUCCCCUGAUAUGUGUCUUUAUCAUCAAAUGGAACAGAGACACACGUGAUUUGUAUGAUUUAGGUCAGCAGUCCCCAAAGUUAGAGACUGGAAGACAGGAGGUGGGUGAGGGAGGUGGUGGAUUCAGUGGGUGAGGAGGGAAGCGGGCAGCCCUGAGCAGAGAUUCCCUUCCCUGGGCCAGACCUUCCCCUCCACCGCCCUCCUUCCCAGCCGCUGUAGGUCACGUCCAGCCCCCCGCCCCCCCCCCCCACCUUCGCCCUUGGUGUCCUUUACCUCCUCCUUCUCUGGGAGAUUGCCACUAACGUUUGGAAUGGGUCACGCCCAACACCAAAUUUUGACAGCAAGUUAAAAGCCAAAAUGCAUUCUCUUUUGCUUUUUGUACUGCCUAAAAAAGGACAUCCUGCGUAGAUUAACAAGUGACAUGCACGGACAGUGCUGAAUGGAACCUUUAGGUUAUUGAUUCUAAAUAACCGUAACUCCUGUCUGAAAUGUUUCCUUUGUGUCUAGGGAGCCCUGAGUGAAUGCUUCCCGGGACUGGCAGUUCACUUCCAGCCCUUCAGGCAGCCCGUUUACCUUGGGCACCCCUGUUGGAAAUGCCUUCUGUAAACGUGACUGAAACCAGGCUCCCUGGCACUUCCCACCCACUGGUCUAAUUUUACCCCCUGGGAAUCACCCUGAAGGAAUCUAAUUCUUCUUCCAGGGGCUAGAAUUUCAAAGAUUUGAGGGACUGUCUCCUGUCCCCAGUGAAUCUUCUAUUCUCCAAGCUCUUCAUAUAAACUAACCUCCCUAGGCUGGUAACUCUCCUCUUAACAGAAGCUAGAGUUUGUAUGAUGAUUUUUCUGAAGUGUGACUCCUGGACCCAGACAUGGCCCCAGAUGUGGCCCAACCAGCACAGAGGAAAACGGAUGACCGCCUUCCUCAUCUUCAAAUUAGACGACACAUGACACUCUCAACUCACAUGGAAUUUUUAGUUAUGCUUCUAAGUCGUCAUCUGUCCCAUAUAAUAAUCUUAUAUAAACCACAUUCAUGGAGUUUUUUUUUUUUUGACCCAAGUGGGUUUUAGUUUUUUGAAGCAAAUAAAGAACCUUAAAUAUAUUCCUUUUGAAAUUUUAUUGUGUUUGACUUGCCCGACUGCCAGGGGUUUUGAGGGGACUGCUGGAUCCUAAUUUCAUCAUCCAGUCAUCUGGUUGCCCCUGUGCCGCCCACAGCUGUAACCACCAUGCCAUCAGUCUUCUCAUCCACGUUGUGUGAAGGAAGCAGCCACAGAAUGAGGCAGAACCCUGAGACCUCCCCACCUGUAACCUGUAUGUUUGCUCUUCUGGCUGCACUCCUGGGAGGCUGUUGUUCACUGAGCUUAUACUCUACUCAGUGAUGCUCUCUUACAGCUUGUGUCCCUCUUUCUUGACUACAAGGAUGUGUAGAUGAGCGUGUAGCCAGAAUGUCACCUCCACGUGGAAUUCAUCACUGUGUCCCAGCUCGGAAGACAGUGCCUGGAUGUCUUAGGCGGUUUAUUGAAGUUUAAUUGAUACACAAAAAACCCCCCAACAAAAUCCUGGAUGUAUUUAAUGUAUACAGUUUGAUGAGUGGACAUAUGCACACACCUGUGAAACCAUCACCACAGUCAAGCCUAUCUGCUGAUGCAGCAUCACUUUUGUUUCCAGUAAAUGAAAGGAAAACAUUUCCACCCACUUAGUAGUUAGGCAAAGGGAAGAAAAGAAGCUUGAGUGCUCAGCAGUUCUCUGAGGCAUAAAGAAUUACUUUGCUACAGAAUGCAAUGGAUUAUGUUUAGCGUGAUAGGAACAAACAAAUAUUUCAAAUUAUCCAUAUGACUGUUGGUCAAAUCCUGCAAACUGCUAGCAAAUGUGAAAAUAAUCCAGACUGAUUAUGAUGAAUUUUGUCCCAGAAUCAAAGGAACUGUUGCUGGAAUUAAAACAAGAACGAGGAUCUUACUGCUCCAUUUGUCUGUGGAGGGAAAUGAUGAAGGACAGGGAUUUGCUAUUUACAGUUUUUCUCCCACAGAGGGAGAAAGCUUCAAAGUUUCAAAGUGGGUUUGAUAUGGUUCUUUUUCUUUCAGUUGUCAAUCCUUUGUUCAGAAAAACCAGUAUUCUGGCCUAAGGAUAUAUCAAUGGAAAUGUCUUCCAAGUGUUGGCCAAUAAUGAUACCAUAUAAAAAUACCAUUUAGAAUGUUUUAACCUAAUGUUUUAAGGUGUUAAUGGUAAAAUGUGAAAGAUAUAUGCUUUUAAAAAUUGAGGUAUCAUUUACAUACAGAAAGACAAACGCGUACCGUCGCCUAACUACUACACAGUCGAGAUAUAGAAUAAUCCCGUUACCCACAAAAUUCCCUUGUGCCUUUUGUGGUCAGACCCUCUCCCCACCCUCACUCCCUGACAGUCACUCAUCUGUCUCCUCUCCCUCUAUUUUCCAGAAUAUUGUAUGGAUGGAAUCAUAGAGAAUGUAAACCUUUGAGUCUGGCUGCUUUCACUUAGCAAAAUGCAUUUGAGAUUGUUUCGUGUUUAUUAAUCUUUAUUGCUGAGUAGGGGUCCACUGUAUGGAUAUACCCGACUUUAUCAUUCACCAGUAGAAAAAAUUUGGAUUUUUUUCCUGCAAUUCUUGAUGAUUAUGAAUAAAGUCGCUACAAACAUUUGAAUAGUGUUUAUUUUAUUUUAUUUUUUUUUGCGGUAAGCAGGCCUCUCACUGCUGUGGCCUCUCCCGUUGCGGAGCACAGGCUCCGGACACGCAGGCUCAGCGGCCAUGGCUCACGGGCCCACCCGCUCCGCAGCUUGUGGAAUCUUCCCGGACCAGGGCACGAACCCGUGUCCCCUGCAUCGGCAGGCGGACUCUCAACCACUGCGCCACCAGGGAAGCCCUUUAUUUUAUUUUUCAUUUUUACUUUUUUGUGAACACGAGUGUUUGUUGAAGUUGGGUAAAUCCCUAGAAAUAGAACUGCUGGGUGUCCGUUAUGUUGUAAGAAAUCACCAGGCUGUGGCUGUAUUAUCCGCAUUCCCACCAGCAGUGCAGGGGAGUUCUGCUUGCUCGGCAUCUUCAUCAGCAAUUGGUUUUCUGAGUUUUCUCCUCUCGUUCCAAUAGGUUUGUUCUGGUUUCUUAUUAGGGCAUCAUUUUGUAUUUUCCUAAUGAUGUAAUGGGGAGCAUCUUUUCAUAAUCUUAUUUGCUACCCAUAGCAAAUCAGUUCUUUAAUGAGGUGUCUGUUCAGAUCUUUCGCCUGUUUUUAAAAUUGGGUUGUUUGUUUACUUAUUAUUAAGUUUUGAUAGUUCUUUAUAAAUUUAGGAUCCAAACAUAUAUCAGACAUGUGUUUUAUCAGACAUAUGUUUUGCCAACAUUUUCUCCCAGUCUGUGGCUUCUCUUUUUCCUUCGUUUAGCAGUGUAUUUUGCAAAGCCGAAGUUUUUAAAAAAAUUUAUUUUAUUCAAGUAUAGUUGACUUACAAUGUGUUAAUUUCUGCUGUACAGCAAAGUGAUUCAGUUAUACAUAUAUAUACAUUCGUUUUCAUAUUCUUUUCCAUUAUGGUUUAUCACAGGAUAUUGAAUAUGUUCCCUAUGCUCUGCAGCAGGACCUUGUUUGUCCAUUCAAUAAAUAUUAGUUUGCAUCUGCUGACCCCAAACUCCCAAUACAUCCCUCCCUCCACUGCCCUUGGCAACCACAAGGCUGUUCUUUAUGUCGCAAAGCAGAAGUUUUUAAUUUUGAUGAAGUCCAACUUAAUCAAUCUUUUAUGAGUUGUACUUUCAUAUCAUAUCUAAGAAAUUUUGCCAAGUCACAAAGUUUUUCUCCUAUGUUUACUUUUGUAGUUUAGGUUUAUAGUUACAGUUUUAGGUUUUACAUUAAGGUCUAUGAUCCAUUUUGGGUAAAAUGUUGUGGAAUAAGGUAUGAAUUAAGGUUUAUUUCUUUGCAUGUGGCCAUCCAAUUAUUCUAGCAACAUUUGUUGAAAAAACUGUUCUUUCUCUUUUGAAUUGUCAUUGCAUUUGUGUUGAAAAUCAGUUGACAAAAUAUAUGUGAGUCUACUUCUGGA